UACAGAGGGUGCAAGCGUUAAUCGGAAUUACUGGGCGUAAAGCGUGCGUAGACGGUCAUGUAAGUCGGGUGUGAAAGCCCCGGGCUCAACCUGGGAAUUGCAUUCGAGACUGCAUGGCUAGGGUGCGGAAGAGGGAAGCGGAAUUUCCGGUGUAGCGGUGAAAUGCGUAGAUAUCGGAAGGAACACCAGUGGCGAAAGCGGCUUCCUGGUCCAACACCGACGUUCAGGCACGAAAGCGUGGGGAGCAAACAGG
rnacentral:rRNA from 1 species